rnacentral:rRNA from 1 species
UACGAGUGCCUCGAGCGUUAUCCGGAAUUAUUGGGCGUAAAGGGUGUGUAGGUGGUUUUGUUAGUCUUCUGUUAAAUUCUUCGGCUUAACCGGGGGUCAGCAGGGGAAACGGCAAGACUAGAGGAUGCGAGGGGUGAAUGGAACUCAUAGUGUAGGGGUGAAAUCCGUUGAUAUUAUGGGGAACACCAAAAGCGAAGGCAGUUCACUGGCGCAUUCCUGACACUGAAACACGAAAGCGUGGGUAGCGAAUGGG